rnacentral:sRNA from 26 species
AAAUAGCCCUGAUAGAGGCGAUAUCCUUUUUGUAGAGCCUUUUCGGCGAAACAAAAAGAUAAAGCCGAAAGCAGGAUAAAGC